rnacentral:rRNA from 1 species
UCCUGAAUUCGAAAGGGGUUGGAUUCAGAUCCUACCGUUCGCAUACUAGGCAGCCCCGCUGCGGAUGGUGCCGGUCGCCCGCGGCGAUUAAUUUCGCUUGCGGUGUCGUUUCUGGCGUCCACCCGGUGGUGGCUGACCACCUUCGCGGAGGGUCGCACUUCUCCCCUAGUAGAAACGUCGCGACCCGUUGGGUGCCGGCCGAAGGCCCGGGAAGGAAGCCCGCGCAUCCUGUGGUGGUUGCCACAGGCGUGCGGACUCCCGGUGACCCGGCCGGCUGCCCGACGGUAUGACCAGAGGAGCCGAUCCGCUGAAUGGGAAACACUGUGGUUUGUGAAGCGUGCGGCCCGGCGCCGAUACGUGCGGGGAUUGAGGUGUAAACCGGGGGUGCCCGUGCGAAGCACGGUCCCGGCCCUGCUGCGUCGUCGGUUGCCGGUGUCCUCGCACUGGAUCGAUACUCCCGUCUGCGACGCCCAUCUUCGGAUGGUCUCCCG